UAAAAAACCUUGAUCAUAUUAGUAUCAUAAAUAUAUUUUGGAAACGUGCUUUAUUUUGUUUUGUUGCUCUUGAUUUUGUUGUUGGAAAGAUAUAAUGCAAAUAUUUAGGAAACAUAAUAUAUUUUUAAAAGACCAUAAAUACAGCAAUGGCACAACUUUUAUUAUUGUUUUAUAAAAUUAAAGUGAUAUAAAAAAAAACAUUUCAGUUUUAAUAGAAGGGAAAUUGCACUCUCUACAUACUACUUUCUUCGUAAUUAGGUGCAUACACGAAAACACUGUGUUGACUGUUUAACAAUAUUUCAAGACACUGCUCCUCCUAUCAA
rnacentral:lncRNA from 1 species